UAAAACAUGAUGAAGGAAACUGUUCAAAUUUUGUAAUGUUUAUAUACUUACACUGAAUUAUUUACUUCUUUGUCAAAGUGAACCCAAACCAUCUAAUACUAAACCCAAAAGCAUUGAUCACUAAACCCAAAACAGAAAUAUAAAUCUCAAUCCAAAUAGCAAAACAUGGAAAUAGUACAAUAUUUUGUUCCAUUCCACAUGGUUCACAUAGAAUAGAUAAACUGUUGAAGUAGGUGAAAGUAAGUGACUGGUAACAAGGUCACCAGGUGUGACAGAAUACGACUUAAUCGAUGGAAUAAAUGACAAAGACUUGCUAAUAGAUUUGACAUAUGACAAGAAGCCACAAUAUUUAUAUGUUGACAGUGAAUUACCUAUUGCUUUGCCAGAGUGAACUCAAAUCAUCCAUACUAAAUCCAAAACCAUUGAUCACUAAACCCAAAACAGAAAUAUAAACCUCAAUCCAAAUAGCAAAACAUGGAAAUAGUACAAUAUUUUGUUCCAUUCCACAUGGUUCACAUAUAAUAGAUAAAUUGUUGAAGUAGGUAAAAAUACGUGAUUGAGAACGAGGUCACCAGGUGUGAGAGAGUUUGACUUAAUCGAUAGAACAUAUGGCAAAGACUUGCUAACAGAUUUGGCAUAUGAGAACUUUCGAAGAAGCCACAAUGUUUAUAUGCUGACAGUGAAUAAUUACCUACUGUUUUGCCAGAGUGAACCAAAAUCAUCCAUACUAAACCCAAAACCAUUGAUCACU
rnacentral:lncRNA from 1 species